rnacentral:lncRNA from 1 species
CGGACCCCUGCAAGCUGGAGCCCUCAGUCUGGAGGCCACAGACUUUGCAUUCAGAUCACCUGGGGGACAUUUAAAAAUACAGAUGCCCAGGCUGCCCACAGUGCUUGAGCCCAGGCAUCAGUAGUGUUUAAAGUUCCCAGGUGAUGGUAAUGUUCAGCCAGGACUGGGGGAGUAGCUUCCCGUCAUCUCUUUCUUCUCGAAUCUACUUUUAACCCCUGGGCUCAAAAACGGACACACCUGCCAGGGCCAAGAAGGUCUCUGGCCCCCCAGGGCGGGUGCCAUGCCCCAGCCCCUCUGUGUCCCCGAUGGCCACUGCCAUGUCAGUGGCAUCGACGACUGCCACAUGAAUGAACGAAUGAAUGAAUGAGUGCGUGCAGGAGGAAGGGCUGGAUCAGAGGAAGAGAGCUGGGUGCUCAAGCCUGCAUUCCAGCAACUACAGCCCACUGUCCAAAAACGAAUGUGGCUCAGGAUCCAAAAGUUCACUCCCACUCAGGGUGCAGGCCUGAGCCCCAGGAUGGCUCAUCCUUCUCUCACCGUCUGCCCAGCAGCUAUGUCUGGCCCAGCUCUCUCCCACCCGUGCUAGGAUGCAGCAAGCGUUUGAAGCGAGGACCAUUUUUCCAUCGGACGAGGUGAUUUUUCCUUUCCUGUCCACCAGCCC